rnacentral:lncRNA from 1 species
CCACUAUUGCUGGGUCAAUUCCCGUGAUGUCAUUCGCCUUCCACAUGAAGCAAUCGACAAACUUCUUUAAGCAUUCACUGAUCUGUUCCCUGUUCACACAGUCAGAUGCAAUGUAUGUAUGUUCGUUUUCUUUUUUGCCAAUUAUUAUUUUUUCUUUAUCAUUUUUCAUUUCAUUUAUUUCUUUUUCAUUAUUUUUGCUUGGAAAUGCUUGGAAAGAUAGACAUGCGGGGUAGUCAAUAAUUUGCAAGCCUUUAUUGAUAAUGACAGAAUCGUCUUCAAAAAUUACAUCAAAUUUGAAAUUUGGAUUUUCAAAAUCCGACACAGACGGCUCAAGACUAGAACUAGACUCUGACUCGAUUUCAUACUCAGGGUCAGACUCGGACUCAAUACAGGACUUGAUCACAUAUUUUGACUCUAGGUU